UACAGAGGAGCCAAGCGUUGUCCGGAUUGACUGGGCGUAAAGCGCACGCAGGCGGUCGCGCGCGUGGGGUGUGAAAUCUGGCCGCUUAACGGCCAGGCGCCAUCCCAUACGGCACGACUGGAGUGAUGCAGAGGUCGGUGGAAUUGCCGGUGUAGUGGUGAAAUGCGCAGAGAUCGGGAGGAACACCAAUGGCGAAAGCAGGUAACUGGACUAUUACUGACACUCAACUGCGAAAGCUAGGGGAGCAAACAGG
rnacentral:rRNA from 1 species